CAGACGGAAGGAACCUCCAAUGCGAUUUGAGAAGGAGGCGUGGAGAGAGAGGACUUGUGGAAUCAAGGAAAGAGAAUUGAGAUUUGUGCAGCUGACAGAUAUCACUUGUGUGAUCUGAGUCACAUGCACCAACGAGACUGACCGAAUAUCAAACGAGAGUCACCCAGGCAACUCCAGACUAACUCUGACUGGAAGUGAACAAAAGUCUCCAGGCUCCAGAAGAUUGGACAACGAGACACCUGUCUACACACUUAUUACCCCAGAGACGUUCACUUGAUACGCUGCUCACUAAUAGUCGUGUGACAGACUGUACCUCCCCUUUCACUGAAUAGAACAAAAAUUUGAGUACCUGGCAAUAUCUCCCCUUCCACCGACGAGGACAAAAGAGGACUACCUGGCAAUAUCCUGUUUAUUGUCCCACUGAGGCUUGUUUAAUUAAAAAUAAACACCUCUUUAUGGUCCAAGACAGGAAGUGGCCUAUUGUGGACAGAAGCAGAUCAGUGAGAGUGGACAGCUUGUAUUGGUCGUGUAGAAGGGCUGGACAGCCUCAGGAUUCUUGUGCUGCAAAACCUGCCCAAUGAGUCCCAGCUCCUGUAGCCCUUCUUUACCCCUCCAUCCACACACACAGGGCCUCUGCUGCAGGUACACCUCCACCUCCUAUUACCAAUGACCUUCAUCUGCCGACUGUGACCAGGAAGUCAUCCCCAGGGACCCUGACUGGCACACUGUUGAAUGCUAAUACCCGGCUCAGGCUGUUCUGGCUUUAGAGGUCGUCUACCAUAGCUUCCCAUCACUUCCUCUGAGCCCCCAUCAAAUGUUAAAUCCUCCUAAAUGCACCUCAGCGGCUUUGGUACCUAGCGUUCCCUGCACGACUGCACGGGUCACUCCAGCUGAGGCCUUGCUCUUUAGAGCCAGCCAGUGAAUGGGAACACAGGGAGAAAAGAUCAGUCCAAAAGAUAAGACCUGGCGUCGGCUGUGAGUUGUUUGUGAUGCUAAUGGAGAGCGUUUUGAGGACAAUUAGCGACAGACGAGGCAA
rnacentral:lncRNA from 1 species